CUUGAUCGACCCCAGCCACAGCGGUGCGGUGCGGCCCUGCCCGUAGGUGGCCAGCAACGCCUGUGCCUC
rnacentral:antisense_RNA from 1 species